CAGUAGCCGCGGGAAAACGUAGGGUGCGAGCGUUAAUCGGAAUUACUGGGCGUAAAGCGUGCGCAGGCGGUUUUGUAAGACAGGCGUGAAAUCCCCGGGCUCAACCUGGGAACUGCGCUUGUGACUGCACAGCUAGAGUAUGGCAGAGGGGGGUGGAAUUCCACGUGUAGCAGUGAAAUGCGUAGAGAUGUGGAGGAACACCGAUGGCGAAGGCAGCCCCCUGGGCCAAUACUGACGCUCAUGCACGAAAGCGUGGGGAGCAAACAGGAUUAGAUACCCCCGUAGUCCCUGUCUCUUAUAA
rnacentral:rRNA from 1 species